rnacentral:misc_RNA from 1 species
AAAUCUCAACCUUCUCGGUUUUCUUCUGGACACCGAAGGAGGCUUGGACUUUGGAGGCCUUUGCUGGUGUCUCUCUCUUUUUGAGAACCAGCUCCUCUUAAAUGAAUUAGCGGGGUCCUCUUUGCCGAUCCUCGACAUGUGAUAAGAUGUUUCCAUGACUUGGUUUCUGGCUCUGUUGCCUUUGGGACCCGCUUCUAACCGUCUCAACGAGACAACGUUUGGGCGUGUCUCCCUUCUCGGGAAACUCUCUCAACCCCACGAAC